UGUAUAGCGAUUGCUAAUUGUUUCAUUCCAGAAAGAUAAAUGAAGCAAUCUCGAUUUGAUCGAAUAAAAUUCUGGGUAAAAUUAUGAUAAUGACAUUAUUUACUUAUGAGUCUUGACCAAAUUACGUGCCAGCAGUCGCGGUAAUACGUAGAAGACUAGUGUUAUUCAUCUUUAAUAGGUUUAAAGGGUACCUAGACGGCAGAUUAAGCCUUAGUUGGGACUGGUUUGCUAGAGUUACUUAUGAGGAAGUUUUAAUGUACUAGAGGUGAAGAGAUAAAAUUCUGUUAUACUUUUUUUCUAACGAAAAAUUUCGGCACAGGUAUAGGUGAAAACAUCUUCUUAUGGGAUAACUGACGUUGAAGGACGAAGG
rnacentral:rRNA from 1 species